UUCUUCCCCUAGAUCUAACCCCUACCUUACCUCUGAACCAAGCUCGCUCUGCCUUCCCCACAGCCGAGGUCGCUUUGCCUUCCCCUGAGCCGAGAUCGCUCUGCCUUGUGGACGCCAGCUCUGUGCUUGCAGAUCCCCGGCCAGCUUGCUGCCUAGGAAGAGAAGAGCAAGACCUCUCCCCCUCUGGGAUCCUUCUCCCUGCCCAGCUCAGUCUGCAGAGGACCAAGACCUGGCCCCAGCAGGGAGCCUGGAGCCAGAGGGAAUGGCCCCUGGGAGCAGCAGCCCCCCUCUCCAGGGGUUGGUGACAUUCAAGGACGUGGCUGUGGAUUUCACCCAGGAGGAGUGGGGCCUCUUGGACCAUGCUCAGAAGGAGUUGUACAAG